rnacentral:rRNA from 1 species
UACGUAGGGGGCAAGCGUUGUCCGGAUUUAUUGGGCGUAAAGAGCGUGUAGGCGGCCGCACAGGUCCGUUGUGAAAACUGGAGGCUUAACCUUCAGACGUCGAUGGAAACCGUGCGGCUAGAGUCCGGAAGAGGAGAAUGGAAUUCCUGGUGUAGCGGUGAAAUGCGCAGAUAUCAGGAAGAACACCGGUGGCGAAAGCGCUCUGCUAGGCCGCAACUGACACUGAGGGACGAAAGCUAGGGGAGCGAAUGGG